GAGGUCACCUUGGUUAAGUGUCUCGAGCUGACAUCCCGCGCGCGCGCGCGUUAUUCAGCAAUGGAAACUGUUGGAGAAACAAAAGCGGAGAAGCCAAUGCAGCCAUAGCCGUGUCUGUCUGAGCUCGACGUUUGAAUUUUCGGGACUAAAUAAGGAUUGUUCGUAUCAAAUGUCUUCUGUGUUUAACAUAAACAAGCUAUAUUCCUGUAUUUAAGAACUCGCCUUACAACCCGACAAAGCACACUGAGAGGAAGUGUACAAGGCAGCUGGAGAAAUGUAAUGAAUUGACUACAGCAACCUGCAAGAGAAAAUCUGAAGGUUUUCUCACAAACCUCACACAGACGAAACGGUGCAAGUCUCUCACAAGAGUGUCAACAAGGCAGUUCUGAACUUCAUAGUUCAUGGUCUCCAGCCGUUCUCUCUUGUUGAGCAGCCAGCGUUUCAGAGCCUUAUCCGAGAUCUGCAGCCGAACUGCUCCAUCAUGUCUUGAACCACUGCGCGGCUCCAGCUUGAUAAAGCCACAUUAGCAAUGAGGAAGGUGCCAUACAUAGCCACAACGACUGAUUGCUGGACUGCGAGGAGGAGGAGUUUCAUUGGCAUCACAGCUCAUUGGCUGGAUCUAAGCAGCUUCUCUUGGUCUUGUAUGCAUGCAGUUAAAGGGCACUCACACGUUUGACGUCUUGGCAAGCACUUGAAUGACGUACACUGUUAAUAUGCAAUCUGUGAGAAUAUAGCCAGAACCACAAUUGAUCAAACUUCGUUAAAGCCGUCUGAGUGCUUGGAGGAGACGAAAACAACAACGUUACUGGUGAGGAGAAGAUCCAACACAAGAUUGUCAGGAUGAGGAAGUAGAAUUCAUCCAAGUUGGCAUCAUGAUGACUGAAGAUGAUGGUCUCAAAUAUCAGCUUCUGAAGCAUCUUUAUUGUGCUUGCCAUUUGUUCAAUUUGGUGGAUACAAAAAACGCGAACAAGGCAGAGGCCUUGAAGAAAUCGUCGAGGUCGGCCUUUUCCAAAUGUCAGGCUCUCUGGAACAAGACUGUGAGGUCUACUGUUGCUGAAGAAGUGGUUGAAGAACAUUGUAAACUGCAGCUGGUGCAACCUAACAUGACAAGGUGAAACUCCUUUUACUUGGCUGUAGAGCGGAUCCUGAGAAUCCUCAAAGAGCAAGGAGAGGGAGCGGUGAGAGCUGUCUGUGCUGCACUUGAUGUUCCAGUACCGGUUCACAAUGACAGCCAGGAAGGGGUGUUCACCCUAAAGGUCACGUUGUGGACUUCCAAGGGCACUGCUGAGCAGAGUAAACAUGAACCAAAAGAAAGCUAAAAGAAUGUUUUUUUUUAUAAUGCCUUACUGCUGUAAAGAUGUGGAGUUUGGCGACAUAUUCCAAGUUCCUGUCUUGGUCUUCUGUACGCGCAUCACGCCCUACUUCCUGUGUAUUUUCUAACACCCACAUGGAGACAAGGGUGUUGCCUGGAAAAAAAUACACUCAGACACUGUGAUGUCAAAUGAAUAUUCAAGCUAAACCCAUGCUAAUUCAUCAUUCUGCAAGAUAUUCUUGAGAAACUGGUGUUAAUCACAAAAUGUAGCUUUGUACCAAUGCAAUAGUGUAAGUUAGCUUAGCUUGCUAGCUUAAUCUAGUUUGCCUUGUUAAGAUGAAAGCCUUCCUUCCUUUUUCUGUUAAAAACAAAUACUUUUUUUUUUGUCUGGACUAUUUGCAGUUUUAUAAAUGUGUGUUUUAAAAACUACCUAAUGAACUCCAUUUAACUAUAUAACACUGUUUUGUUUCAUUGACCACUCAGAGCUGCAUUCAUCCUUGGAAGCUGACAUUUAUACAACUCUCCUUACAGUUUCUCACAGACCACUGUGUGCUUCUCCUCACUGCAAAUUGAAAGUCGAUGAGAAAAUCAGAAAUGAAGAUGUGCUCAGCGCUUUGCCCUAAAACCUUUAAGAGUUGAGAGUUGCGUUGUUAUCCUCCUCUGCUCGGUUCCUCUCAUGAUUGAAGAUCGAGGUCAAACUUUCACAGUCAGACUGAAAAGUUUGUGGCAGUGCUUUUAGAACUUGGUCUGGCAACACUCUACGUACAACUAAUAAUAAUUUAUUGGGACGGACUUCAAUCAUACCCCCAAUAAAGGAACAUAAAUGUAUCCAUUUAUCUGUAAUGUAUUAUGAUGUGUUACAUGUCCAAGUUUAAACCCUCUGAUUCAAGCUAUCCCUCUAAGAUGAAUUAUUGUUUGUUAGUCUCAAGCCUGACAUAAACUUGAAAUGCUGAAACACUUCUUCCCUUCUUCCACAGAGAAACUACCAGACCCAGUCACUGAGAGGAUGCUGACCCAAAGACUGACUCCUACUGCAGCCUGGACACCUUCAAACCUGAGCCCACUUAACAACUGUCCACAGAAAAGCCUAAAUACUUUAUUGAGAAAAGAUUUCAAAUUGAACAAUUUAGCCACAAUGAUAAAUAUGUUUGAAAAAGUAAAGAUUAGGUUGGCAAACCAAAUAACACUGGGCCAACUGUUGAGCAUAGCAUCACGUUGUGGGCCUGUUCUGGUGCCAGAAAGGUUGGUGUGUCAUAGAAGGUCGAUAGCGUGAUUAAGACGAAAGACUAGCUUCGAUCUUUUGAAAGUUGGACCUCGUUGGGUGUUCUAACAGGACAGUGAUCCUGUUUGUACGAUGGGCCAUUGUAGAUUUGGAAGAGA